rnacentral:rRNA from 1 species
UGGGGAAUAUUGCGCAAUGGGGGGAACCCUGACGCAGCCAUGCCGCGUGAAUGAAGAAGGCCUUAGGGUUGUAAAGUUCUUUCGGUAUUGAGGAAGGUUGAUGUGUUAAUAGCACAUCAAAUUGACGUUAAAUACAGAAGAAGCACCGGCUAACUCCGUGCCAGCAGCCGCGGUAAUACGGAGGGUGCGAGCGUUAAUCGGAAUAACUGGGCGUAAAGGGCACGCAGGCGGUUAUUUAAGUGAGGUGUGAAAGCCCUGGGCUUAACCUAGGAAUUGCAUUUCAGACUGGGUAACUAGAGUACUUUAGGGAGGGGUAGAAUUCCACGUGUAGCGGUGAAAUGCGUAGAGAUGUGGAGGAAUACCGAAGGCGAAGGCAGCCCCUUGGGAAUGUACUGACGCUCAUGUGCGAAAGCGUGGGGAGCAAACAGGAUUAGAUACCCUGGUAGUCCACGCUGUAAACGCUGUCGAUUUGGGGGGUGGGGUUUAACUCUGGCGCCCGUAGCUAACGUGAUAAAUCGACCGCCUGGGGAGUACGGCCGCAAGGUUA